rnacentral:rRNA from 1 species
ACUGAGCGGCGGACGGGUGAGUAACGCGUGGGUAACCUGCCUUAUACAGGGGGAUAACAGUUAGAAAUGACUGCUAAUACCGCAUAAGCGCACAGUACCGCAUGGUACGGUGUGAAAAACUCCGGUGGUAUAAGACGGACCCGCGUCUGAUUAGCCAGUUGGCGGGGUAACGGCCCACCAAAGCGACGAUCAGUAGCCGACCUGAGAGGGUGACCGGCCACAUUGGGACUGAGACACGGCCCAAACUCCUACGGAAGGCAGCAG